rnacentral:rRNA from 1 species
UACAUGGGGUGCAAACGUUGCUCGGAAUUAUUGGGCGUAAAGCGCGCGUAGGCGGUUACUUAAGUCGGAUGUGAAAGCCCUCGGCUUAACUGAGGAAGUGCACCCGAAACUGAGUAGCUAGAGUACGAAAGGAGGUCGCGGAAUUCCCGGUGUAGAGGUGAAAUUCGUAGAUAUCGGGAGGAACACCGGUGGCGAAGGCGGCGACCUGGGUCGAGACUGACGCUGAGGCGCGAAAAGCGUGGGGAGCAAACACGG